GUGCUCACUUCGGCAGCACAUAUACAAAAAUUGGAAAGAUACGGAGAAGGUUAACAUGACCCCUGUGCAAGGAUGAUACAAGUUCAUGAAGCGUUCCAUGUUUUU